UCCCUGACUCCUUGAGAGUCCUGAAGGAACGUUGAAGACGACGACGUUGAUAGGCCGGGUGUGUAAGCGCAGCGAUGCGUUGAGCUAACCGGUACUAAUGAACCGUGAGGCUUAACCUUACAACGCCGAAGGUGUUU
rnacentral:rRNA from 1 species